rnacentral:rRNA from 1 species
UACGUAGGUGGCAAGCGUUGUCCGGAAUUAUUGGGCGUAAAGCGCGCGCAGGCGGUUCUUUAAGUCUGAUGUGAAAUCUUGCGGCUCAACCGUGAGCGGUCAUUGGAAACUGGAGAACUUGAGUGCAGAAGAGAAGAGCGGAAUUCCACGUGUAGCGGUGAAAUGCGUAGAGAUGUGGAGGAACACCAGUGGCGAAGGCGGCUCUUUGGUCUGUAACUGACGCUGAGGCGCGAAAGCGUGGGGAGCGAACAGG